GUUGAGUUUAUAUUUUUGCUCAGUAUAUGUUGAAGUUUGAAGUAUACCUACCUAAUUCUGUUCUCCAUAUCGACGACUGUUGGUUAGCAGGCAAGAGGUGAAGCUGGAGGUGAGAUCUUUGCCAGAGCCCCAAUGAUGGCCAUAGCAGCAUAGACCAGCUCUUGGCCCCUCAAAGGAUCUCUUACGUUCUUCCAAAGAUCUCCUGGGGGAUUGGCGUCACCACAGCAGUCAUCUACCACGGCCUGAUGAUGAUGUCUACCUGAGACUCCAAGCCAAACUCUACAGAGUCCAUCCCCUGGAUCCUUCACCUGCAGCCCGUGGCUUCAUCCCGUCCAUUCUCACAUCCAUUCAAUUUCCUCAAAAUAAAUUCUAAACU